UACGGAGGGUGCAAGCGUUAUCCGGAUUCACUGGGUUUAAAGGGUGCGUAGGCGGGCAGGUAAGUCAGCGGUGAAAUCUCCGAGCUUAACUCGGAAACUGCCGUUGAUACUAUUUGUCUUGAAUAUUGUGGAGGUAAGCGGAAUAUGUCAUGUAGCGGUGAAAUGCUUAGAUAUGACAUAGAACACCAAUUGCGAAGGCAGCUUACUACACAACGAUUGACGCUGAGGCACGAAAGCGUGGGGAUCAAACAGG
rnacentral:rRNA from 1 species